rnacentral:rRNA from 1 species
AUUGAACGCUGGCGGCAGGCCUAACACAUGCAAGUCGAACGAGUGGCGGACGGGUGAGUAAUGUAUGGGAACCUGCCCGAUGGAGGGGGAUAACUACUGGAAACGGUCGCUAAUACCGCAUACCAUCGGAUGUGCCCAGAUGGGCUUAGCUAGUAGGUGGGGUAACGGCUCACCGAGGCCACGAUCACUAGCUGGUCUGAGAGGAUGACCAGACACACUGGAACUGAGACACGGUACAGACGCAUACGGGAGGGAGCAGUGGGGAAGAUGGUACAAUGGGCGCAAGCCUGAUGCAGCCAUGCCGCGUGUAUGAAGAAGGCCUUCGGGUUGUAAAGUACUUUAAGCGAGGAGGCGUUACUCGCAGAAGAAGCACCGGCUAACUCCGUGCCAGCAGCCGCGGUAAUAC